GGAGAGGAGGUUAACAGACUGACUACAGGGAGGAGAGGAGGUUAACAGACUGACUACAGGGAGGGAGGAGAGGAGGUUAACAGACUGACUACAGGGAGGAGAGGAGGUUAACAGACUGACUACAGGGAGGAGAGGUUAACAGACUGACUACAGGGAGGAGAGGAGGUUAACAGACUGACU